rnacentral:rRNA from 1 species
CGGACGGGUGAGUAACACGUGGAUAACCUACCUAUAAGACUGGGAUAACUUCGGGAAACCGGAGCUAAUACCGGAUAAUAUAUUGAACCGCAUGGUUCAAUAGUGAAAGACGGUUUUGCUGUCACUUAUAGAUGGAUCCGCGCCGCAUUAGCUAGUUGGUAAGGUAACGGCUUACCAAGGCAACUAUGCGUAGCCGACCUGAGAGGGUGAUCGGCCACACUGGAACUNAGACACGGUCCAGACUCCUACGGGAGCAGCAGGA